AUGGGGGGAAUGGAGGGCGCUGGGAGAUAGAAGCUGCGGGCUAUCUGGGCCUGGCCUGGGGUCAGCCAGGUGGGGUAGGGACGGAGCCUGUGUCCAUCCAGCCCGGGGUCAGGUCCCUGCAGGGCCAGGAAAGCGGGGGCAGUGGGUCUGCAGGGAAGGCUGCGGGGAGCCAGCGGGCCCAGGGCAAACUCUAGCUGCCCCCGAGGAAGGAAGGGCAAGGGGAGAUGUUGCUGAUACUCAGUGUGCUGAUAUUCAGUGUGGCAAGAUGGUACCUGUGAAAGAUGAGCCAGAUGCCACAUGGCAAGCAUUCGUUAAGUUAAUGGAAAACUCUGAACCUCCAUGGAGAGAAGGAUACGGUGGAAGGAACCCGUCUGCACUCCAGACACAUAGGCUCCUGUUUCAUGGAAUUUUCCUCUUGGAGGAGUAAGCAGUCAUUUCCAACUAUAUCAGAACCAGGACCGCCACACAGUUAACACUUACACCUAUUUGAUUUCUGUUACCAUGUGCUCAGCCCUUGCAGAGCGAAAUGGCAGCUGGAUGGUACAUUGUCCAGAAGAGGGGGCCAAAGACUUUCAGAAAUGCCAGGAGCCCUGUCAUAAUUCCAGCCCAUGAAAGGAAGAGGCCUGCCCCAGUGAUACAAGCGUGCUGACUCUCCCAAUUCUCAAUUGCUCCCAUGCUGGGCACUCCGCUGGUCUCCAUGUACCUCGUUGGAAAUCAAUCAUGCAGAACUUGGGUGUCUUGGGACCUCUCACUUCCCCAUUUAAGGACCUGCAGCCCCUCCAGGGUCAAAGAAGUUAGGAAUACCUGCUUUGUGUAUUUUCUGUUUUGUUUUUGGUUUUGGUCAGUCAUAAAAGGACUUUGAGAAUUCACAACAGAAAUUAGUGUCAAAAGCUCAAAAUCUCCUUCUCUCUCUCUCUGGAUAGAAAUACUACUGCCAGUUAACUUAAUAGACUUUUAAACAUCACAUAUUUGCAUUCUUUCCUUGAAUGACUCCCAUUCUCCGUUUGUUGGAACUCACAACCUGCAAUGAUGCACUCAGAGUAGUCUCUGUGUGCCACCAUGACCACGUGUUGGGUUUUCCCGUGGAUGUGAUUGACUAGGGACCUUGGCUGUGAGAUGUGGAAAAUUAGGAAGGAGACCUGGACCCAGAGACUGAUGGGACAGAGAAGAAAAGAAAUGAAUCCCAGUUCUUGUGUUGUCCCCCCAAAACAAAGCAAGUGACGACGGAACACUGGCUUCUAAAGAACCCUUGUGACCAAAACACCAGCAGCAUUGUGGGUAGAGGGUGGGCAAAGCCCCCUGCCCUUCUUCAAGGGCACACAUGACCUCACAUUGACUUUCUAGCUUUAAAGGGGGCUCUUGCCUGUGUCACCAGACAACUGUGUCUACGGUAAAAAUAACCCGACUGGUGAGUAGCAUUUGAGGGCACCUCCAUAGGGGCUAGGCUGUAACAAGAACCAGAGCACUGCCACUGCUCGUGUACCUGUUAGGGGCUGAGUUGUGGGCACUUCCCCAGAAUUCAUAUGUUCAAAUCCCAAUCCCUAGUACCUCGGGAUGCUACUGCAUUUGGAGAUGAGGUCAUUACAAAGGUGAUUAAGUUAAAUGAGGCCAUGAAGGUGGCUCUGAUGUCAUCUGACUGGUGUCCUUGUAAGAAGGAGAAAUAAGGGCACAGAUAUGCACUGAGAGGACCAUGUGAGGACCCAGGGAAGGGACAGCUGCCAACAUGCCCAGGAGAGAGGCCUUGGGACACCAGCCCUGCCCACACCUUGAUCUUGGACUUCAGCCUCCAGAUGGUGAGUUAAUGAGUAUAUGCUGUUGAAGCUGCGCAUCUGUGGUGUUUCGUGCUGGCCGCCUUGCCGACUGGACCAGCACCUGUUUCCAGGAACCCCGUCCCUGUUCUAAAAGGUGUCUUCUCUGUAUAAUUUUGUGCAGUGCUGGGCAUGCCCCAGCAGAGGAUGCUAGCAGCUUCUGCUGAAAGAGGAGACUGUGCAGCUCUCCAGAUCUCACCUGCCCUGGGAGGUCAGCGGGGAAGGUGGUGUUGGGAUGCCCCAGCCCCAGUCCAGCAUCUCUGUCUCCAGCUCAGGGUGACGGGAGGUGUCUAGUUUCUGCAACCUCUGACUUCUGAAUCCCAAGGUGUUGGGAGCCAGCAGUGUCCGUGGUCCCCUCAUCCAGCCAAAGAACAGAAGGACCUGGCAUGUGUGGCCAGAAAAGCACAGACUGCCUCUCGGUUCCUGUGGGUGUUAAUCAGCUCAUGUCACAGGCCACACGUCACACGUCAGCGCUCGGAGAUUCCGUUGACUGAGUGUGCCUCCUGCAGUGAGAACUACGGUGGGUGCAUCCUGGCUGCCCCCUUGCCACCCGCCUUCCAGCAGCUAGGGCUUCAGACAACUCUGCGCUCAGCCCAACAGAGCCUUGACCCCUGGCCGAGCAGGGCGCCAGCUGCACAGACGCCAAUCCUGGCUUCGUGUCCUGCUGACUCUGCCUUGGCUUUUGAAACAGGAGCCCAUGCAGCCAUGACCUGCAUAUGAAGACAGAGAGCCAGAGAGGUGAAGGUGGAAUUUGCAGCACUGACAACUCCAUUCACACACAGCUGUCUACUUAUCAGACCCCAUGAGCCCAAGCAUCUACACAACACUGUUGGCAGAGGACAGAACCCUGCACUCAAUCCUCAGGGAACCUGCCCCAAAGCUGCUGUCUUCCUCCUCCUGGCAGAUCAUGUUCCUACUUAAAAAGAAACCAAAAAACUGUCAAGUUCCACAUAUCCAUCUUCCAAUGUGGAAAAAAUGGAAAACAGCAGUGACGAUCAUCCAGCCUCUAAAGCAGAAUGGCAUCCCACUGGUAAGGGGUCAUGGGGUGCUUGAGGAUUACUGCACUGGAAGAAAAAUGGAUCCAUCUGAGAGAUGCCAUCGUGGUGAAUCCCUCAAGCCCAACCAAGCUCUGGGGUAGGGGAGGAGGACAUGCCUGUGUGAUGGUAUAAUCUCUCUGCUCCCUGGCAACUUCUGCUUCCUCUGCAGGGCCUGCUCAUCCACAAGCACAGGGCUGUGGCCACCGGAAUUCAGGAAGAAGAACCCAUUCUGCUGGAAGCCCAGGGUGAGGACUGGAAUGCGAUCUUGAGUGUGAUGCUUAAUUUUAUGUGUCAACCUGAAGGGUGUUUUUGAAUGAGACAAACUUUGAAUCGGUGAAAUUUGGGUAAAACAGAUUGUUCUCUAUGUUGUUGGGUUUAAUUCAAUCAGUUGAAGGUCUGAGUCAAAACAAAAAGGCUGGCUUCUCCAAACAAGAGAGAGAAUCCUCCAGCAGCUGCCUUCAGAUUUAUCUGCAUGUUUGGCUCUCUUGGGCUUCUAGCAGAUGGCCUUUCGAUUGGAACUGGAACAUCGACUUUCCUGGAUCUCAGGCUUAUUGGCCAACACUGCAGAUUUUGGACUCAUUAGCCUCCAUGAUUACAUGAGCCAAUUCCUUAUAAUAAAUCUCUCCAUAGACGCACAUCCUAUUGGUUUUGUUCCUCUGGAGAACUCUGACUAAGGCACUGGGUCUGACAAGAUGGUUUCUGUCUGGAGCUCUGGGUGUCAGAGACACGGUGAAGGUACCACCUGGCCAAAGAAUUGUCAGUGCUGCACCCCUGCCUCAGACAUGACCAUUGGAGACCACUGCCAGGAUCAGAAAGGCAGAGUGGAGCAGCUACUAGGGCAGCAGCUACUGGGACCAGCAUGGGUUCAGACUGUCUGGGAGCUGGAAGAAGGAAAAACACCAGGAAGGAUAGGCCACUUCGGGAACCAUCAGCCAUCCUCUAUUUGUGUACUAUGUAACUCUUUGUGGAUUGCUGUCAUGUUGGGUGAGCCAGACCGACAUCUUGUCAGCUGCUAGACCUUGUUGGCAGUGGUACUGCCUGGCGAGGGUUACUUCUGUCCUUUUCCUCCUCGGCAUCUCUCUCACCUGCCCCAUCAUCAGGAUCCUUCCUGACACUCCGCCCUCCAAACUGUCUACAUCAGGUCACUCCUGCUGUGAAUUCUCACUAUACUUGGUGCUUCUCCUGUCUCACAAUGAGUCCUGUUUGUGGCUGUGUCCUCGAAUGGCUGUCGGAUUCCUCUCCACCUCCUUCACUAGGCUGAGUCCUUUGAAGGGGAAAAGGGAUGGGAGGCUGGUUGUGCUAGCCCUUGUGGUCCCAGCGUUUAACAUGCUAUGCUGCCUUGCACAAAGUAAUCAUUCAGUAAAAAAUUGAGUGAGUAGUAGGUAGUUUGUGAUGCCAUUGAGAGAGGGUCUAUGGGAGGGAAAUUAUCAAUGAAAUAAGAUGUAAGAGUGGAGAGGACUAGAGGAAGCUCCUUCUUGCCAUCUCAUCCAUAGUGAGGGAAGCCGGGGUUGUGGCCACACCCACACGGAAGACUGACCACCCCACAGACCCAGCAAAGACAGACAAAGUGGCCACAUCUCCCCACCUUCCCCCAAAUCCUCAUCUGACUUCAAUGAGCAUUGAACACAGAGGCUUUUCUGGUUGUAGAAUUUUGAAACUCAAAGGUCAGAAACUAAAGUUAGAAGGUUCAAAGCAUGGUAACUGUCAUUUCGUUUGAAGUGAAAAUUUCUUUUUACCACAAAAGUAGUAAGUAUGAAACCAUAGUUACAACCAGAAGUUGCCAUAUCUACUGAUUUUCACUUGUAAAUGAGUAAAUGAGAACACAAGAAGGAUAGCCAAAACUGGGAAAGAAGGGAAGAAGAGACAAUACGCAAUUUAAUAAGACACAUAAGACAAAUUCUGAUAUUUGGAAGCUCCCCAGGAAGCGAAUGAAUUGGCAUGACAGUAUGCCCUAAGCUUGGGAAAGAGGUUUCUUUGUAUGUGUUACAUAUGUGUGUAUGUGUAUUUAUUUUUUAAAAUUUAUUUACAUUCAAUUAAUUAACAUAGAGUAUAUUAUUAGUUUCAGAGGUGAGGUCAGUGAUUCAUUGGUCUCAUA